AAGUCGUAACAAGGUUUCCGUAGGUGAACCUGCGGAAGGAUCAUUAACACGUAUCCAAACGUUAAAACCCCCCCCGUGAACCUUCAUCCUGCUCUUGUAACCCGCGUCGUAGUUCGCAAUCUCUGAUAAAUCAUAGCCCGGAAAGUUGUAGUGAUUCACAGACCUCUGGCUACGUGCGAACAUUGGAACAGUUACAAUAGAAGCGCUAUCCUUGCACAAUCAAUGACACUUUCCGACACUGACUGUUUGGGGAAACAUUGCCUGUAGAACUACCGCUCGACGAUUCCUGUAGACCGUACACUCGGGCAGGAGCUUUGCCAAAGGGUCCCCAUGCCCCCUAAUAACCCCACAGUUUAAUGUGAAGCUCAAUGUAAUACAUUGGGUAGAAAAACCGAACAACUGUUAACAAUGGAUAUCUUGGUUCUC
rnacentral:misc_RNA from 1 species